GUUGGCUGGGCUACUAGAGGUAGAUGGGUCUGGUUGGCUGGGCUACUAGAGGUCGAUGGGUCUGGUUGACUGGGCUACUAGAGGUCGAUGGGUCUGGUUGACUGGGCUACUAGAAGUAGAUGGGUCUGGUUGACUGGGCUACUAGAGGUAG